GAGAAGGGAGCUCAGUGGAAAACAUCAGUUGUGCCCACGCACCCAACUGUUCCAGUAACAUAAAAGCAACAGCAGUUGGAGAUACUUAAGGCAGCCAUGGUAUUGACAGAAAAAGACUCUGGAUUUGGAUUGCAGCUGUAGCAUUUAUUAAAUGCACGUCACAACCUCUCUGAGCUUCGUUUUCCCCACGUUUCAAAUGGGAUGCAGUGGACCCUGUUGCCUACCCGAGAACAACUUCAAAGCAACUUUGAGAGCCUUGUAUGGAAGAUGGCAACUUUGAGAGCCUUGUGUUGAAGAUGGCAAAGCCACAAGAUGGAAAGUGCUUGGGUUCUUGGAUCAUUGUAUGGAGGGGUUCUGCCCAACUAGGAUCACCCAGGCUGGAUUGUCAUAGUGAAGAUAAGAAUACCUAUUUUAAAGUUCUGUUGUGAGGUUCAAGUGCCACAUAUGGGGCCACCAGAAGCUGUUGGCGCCCCUCCCACAUCCCUGUGGUCCACUCAGGAGGUUAACUGCAGUCAGCUGUCAUUCUGCUGGUGGCUUCCUGCGUCUUUCUGCCUGAGCUUGUUCUUUGGCCCUGGAGGAACCCUCCACCAAUGAGAGAUGGGAAUUGUUGGAUAAAAGUCCCAGCUUCCACUCCAAGGCAUGUUCAUGAUCCAUGCAGCCUCUGAGAGGCCUCCCAUGGGCCUGAGCCCCAGUUGCCCACACUGGUAAUACACACAUCUGCUCACUCUCCACUGGCUUUCCUCUCUCCCUUUCUCACUGCUUCACCUUCCCAAUGUGCCUCCUGGACCACGUCCCAAAUAAAUGAUUGCACUCAAAUCCUCGUCUUGGGGUCUGCUAAGGGGAAAUCCAAGUCCAGACAUUGGUAUGACUCAAGUGCUUAAUAAAUAGACCAUGUCACUAUUGUAGUUUCUAGAUACCCAAAAUUCAAAUGUGGGUCUCUCUGCUUAUAUUUUGUAUUUUCUAUGUAAAAAAUUCCCUAAAGCCCUCCAGGAAGGACUCCUCUCCCUGUGGCUCCAUGCCAGUCCUAUGCUCUGCAGCCAUAGGGAGGAUUGCUGUGCCAAUGCUCACAAACCUUGGGGCUGCCAUCCCCAAGACUCCUUGGACUCCAUACAAAGAUUGACCUUAGGAGGAGUGAGUCACAACAACUCCAUGCAACAGGGUCUUUGCAAAUGAAAGUUAAGAUGAAGUCAUUAGUGUGGUCCCCAAUUCAACAUGACUGGUGUCCUUAUUAAAAGUGGAGAUUUGGACACAGAAAGACACAAACAAGGAGAACACCAUGUGAAGAUUGGGAUCAUGUGACCAAAAGCCAAGGAACUACCAGAAGGUAAGAGAGAAGACCAGGAACAAAUCCUUUCCUAGUGCCUUCAGAGGGAGUGUGACCUAGUUGACACCUUGAUUUUGGACUUCUAGCCUCUGAAAUUGUGAGACAAUAAAUGCCUGUUGUUUAAGCCACCCAGCUUGUGGCACUUUGUUACAUCAGCCCUACCAGACUAAUAAAGGGGAAUUGUCUUUAUGUACUGCCUAUGUGUGGCUGCAGGAACCAUG
rnacentral:lncRNA from 10 species